GCGGGCGUAGCUCAGUGGUCUAAAGCGCUGCCCUGUCACGGCAGAGAUCGCCGGUUCAAAUCCGGUCGCCCGCG
rnacentral:tRNA from 1 species